rnacentral:rRNA from 1 species
UACGUAGGGGGCUAGCGUUGUCCGGAAUCAUUGGGCGUAAAGAGCGUGUAGGCGGCCCGGUAAGUCCGCUGUGAAAGUCGGGGGCUCAACCCUCGAAUGCCGGUGGAUACUGUCGGGCUAGAGUGCGGAAGAGGCGAGUGGAAUUCCUGGUGUAGCGGUGAAAUGCGCAGAUAUCAGGAGGAACACCAAUUGCGAAGGCAGCGCGCUGGGACGUAACUGACGCUGAGACGCGAAAGCGUGGGGAGCGAACAGG